rnacentral:ribozyme from 1 species
AGCAAUACCUCGCUGGAACGGGGAUGGAUCCAAAGGCUCUACAAGGUUAACAUAGACUCUCCACCUCCUAUUCCUACUCAAUACGUCCCCGUCGUACAGAACGGUAACAAGUCUCUCAAUUAUCCAAGCUGGAUAAACCAAGGAUAAUGUAUUUAGAAGGUUGAUUUUU